rnacentral:rRNA from 1 species
AGCCCUGUACUUCGGGAUAAGCUUGGGAAACUGGGUCUAAUACCGGAUAGGACAACUUUUUGGAUAUUGUUGUGGAAAGCUUUUGCGGUAUGGGAUGAGCUCGCGGCCUAUCAGCUUGUUGGUGGGGUAAUGGCCUACCAAGGCGUCGACGGGUAGCCGGCCUGAGAGCGUGUACGGCCACAUUGGGACUGAGAUACGGCCCAGACUCCUACGGGAGGCAGCAGUGGGGAAUAUUGCACAAUGGGCGCAAGCCUGAUGCAGCGACGCCGCGUGGGGGAUGAAGGCCUUCGGGUUGUAAACUCCUUUCGCUAGGGACGAAGCGUUUUUGUGACGGUACCUGGAGAAGAAGCACCGGCUAACUACGUGCCAGCAGCCGCGGUAAUACGUAGGGUGCGAGCGUUGUCCGGAAUUACUGGGCGUAAAGGGCUCGUAGGUGGUUUGUCGCGUCGUCUGUGAAAUUCCGGGGCUUAACUCCGGGCGUGCAGGCGAUACGGGCAUAACUUGAGUACUGUAGGGGUAACUGGAAUUCCUGGUGUAGCGGUGAAAUGCGCAGAUAUCAGGAGGAACACCAGUGGCGAAGGCGACUUUCUGGUCUGCAACUGACGCUGAUGUGCGAAAGCGUGGGG